AGCGGUAGCACAGGGGAGCUUGCUCCCUGGGUGACGAGCGGCGGACGGGUGAGUAAUGUCUGGGAAACUGCCUGAUGGAGGGGGAUAACUACUGGAAACGGUAGCUAAUACCGCAUAACGUCGCAAGACCAAAGAGGGGGACCUUCGGGCCUCUUGCCAUCAGAUGUGCCCAGAUGGGAUUAGCUAGUAGGUGGGGUAACGGCUCACCUAGGCGACGAUCCCUAGCUGGUCUGAGAGGAUGACCAGCCACACUGGAACUGAGACACGGUCCAGACUCCUACGGGAGGCAGCAGUGGGGAAUAUUGCACAAUGGGCGCAAGCCUGAUGCAGCCAUGCCGCGUGUGUGAAGAAGGCCUUCGGGUUGUAAAGCACUUUCAGCGAGGAGGAAGGUGGUGAACUUAAUACGUUCAUCAAUUGACGUUACUCGCAGAAGAAGCACCGGCUAACUCCGUGCCAGCAGCCGCGGUAAUACGGGGGGUGCAAGCGUUAAUCGGAAUUACUGGGCGUAAAGCGCACGCAGGCGGUUUGUUAAGUCAGAUGUGAAAUCCCCGGGCUCAACCUGGGAACUGCAUUUGAAACUGGCAAGCUAGAGUCUCGUAGAGGGGGGUAGAAUUCCAGGUGUAGCGGUGAAAUGCGUAGAGAUCUGGAGGAAUACCGGUGGCGAAGGCGGCCCCCUGGACGAAGACUGACGCUCAGGUGCGAAAGCGUGGGGAGCAAACAGGAUUAGAUACCCUGGUAGUCCACGCUGUAAACGAUGUCGAUUUGGAGGUUGUGCCCUUGAGGCGUGGCUUCCGGAGCUAACGCGUUAAAUCGACCGCCUGGGGAGUACGGCCGCAAGGUUAAAACUCAAAUGAAUUGACGGGGGCCCGCACAAGCGGUGGAGCAUGUGGUUUAAUUCGAUGCAACGCGAAGAACCUUACCUACUCUUGACAUCCAGAGAACUUAGCAGA
rnacentral:rRNA from 1 species